ensembl:lncRNA
GAGAAGGGGAGGAGGAAAGAGGAUUGCUGACUCUGUGACCUGGGGCCAGUCUGUCCCACCCUCACUGACCCUCAGUUUCUCUGAGAAAUGAGCUGGGUUGCGUUAGCCUGGACUCACCUUCCAGGUCUGGGGUCAAUGACUUUGCCCAGCUCCUCCCUCUAGUCCGCCAAGGAGUUCUCGCUCCUCCCUCUGCUCUCCUGCCAGGGUGCAGGAAGGGACAGAGCUGGCCUGCCGCAGGUUGUGCUGGGACUCCAGAGACGAAGCCCAGGUGGCCACCUCAGAGUGUCCAUUGUGUCGAGGGGCAGGAGAGUGGGGGCUUGACUCCUUUCUGGAUGCAGGAGACUUCUAGCCUAGACUGUGUGAUCUCUCCUCCCCUGGCAGAGCUGAGGGGCUGAGUCUCCAAGGACUUCUUGGUUCCCUGAUUCUGCAUAAACCUGCCUCCUCUGUGGAUAAUGGGGAAUACAUGCUACUGUGAAGCCUCAGAACAAGCCUAUGGAGGACAAUAUCCUAAUCUUCAGAAAGAAGAAAUAGAUGCCCAGAGAAUACCACAAACCUACCCACGGUCACACACGGGAAGGACUUUCCAGGUGGCGCUAGUGGUGGAGAACCUGCCUGCCAGUGCAGGAGACAUAAGAGAUGAGUGUUCGAUCCUUGGGUUGGAAAGAUCCCUUGGAGAACGGAAAGACUACUCACUCCAGUAUUCUUGCCUGGAGAAUCCCAUGGACAGAGGAGCCUGGUGGGCUACAGUCCAUUGUGUUGCAGAGGUGGACAUGACUGAAGCGACUUAGCAUGCAUGCAUGCAUCUGACUUACUUAACAUUGUAUGAUAACCUCUUGGCUUGUUCAUGUUUCUGAAAUAAUCUUUGCCUUAUUCUUUAUCUCAGGGGGAAAAGGACUUACUAUUUCAUUAUUAAGUAUGAUGUUAGUUGUCGAUUUUUCACAGAUGUCUUUUUAUUGGAUUGAGAAAGUUUUCUUCUAUUUCUAGAUUUCUGUUUUUAUUACAAAUGAGUAUUGAAUUUCAUCAAAUGGCUUUUCAGCAUUUAUUGAGAUGAUUUUCUGCUUUGUUGUGUUAAUGUGGAGAACUGCCUCUGCCAACUUGGUGUAUGUAUAUACAUAUAAGCAUGCAUUUGGUUGUUUGAUUUGAUAAUGAUCUGUAAAGAUUUUUGUGAGUG